rnacentral:rRNA from 1 species
GACGAACGCUGGCGGCGUGCCUAAUACAUGCAAGUAGGACGCAGUUGCGAACGGGUGAGUAACGCGUAGGUAACUGCCCAUUAGAGGGGGGUAACUAUUGGAAACGAUAGCUAAUACCACAUACUAGUAGAUGGACCUGCGUGUUAUUAGGUAGUAGGUAGGGUAAUGGCCUACCUAGGCAACGGUACAUAGCCGACCUUGGGGGGUGGUCGGCCAAACUGGGACUGAGACAAGGCCCAGACUCCUACGGGAGGCAGCAGUUGGGAAACUUCGGCAAUGGGGGGAACGCUGACCGAGCAACGCCGGUGUAGUGAAGGAGGUUUUCGGAUCGUAAAGCUCUGUUGUUUAGGAAGCGGUACUUAACCAGAAAGGGACGGCUAACUACGUGCCAGCCGCCGCGGUAAUUC